GCAUAACGCGAAGAACCUUACCUAGGCUUGACAUGCAUCUCUAAGCACGUGAAAGCGUGUGACCCUUCGGGGAAGUUUGCACAGGUGCUGCAUGGCCGUCGUCAGCUCGUGUCGUGAGAUGUUGGGUUAAGUCCCGCAACGAGCGCAACCCUUGUGACUAGUUGCCAACAGGUCAAGCUGGGCACUCUAGCCAGACUGCCGGUGACGAACCGGAGGAAGGUGGGACGACGUCAAGUCAUCAUGCCCCUUACGUCUUGGGCUACACACGUCCUACAAUGGCCGGAACAAAGGGCUGCAAGCUAGCGAUAGCAAGCGAAUCCCAAAAAUCCGGACCUCAGUUCAGAUUGCAGGCUGCAACUCGCCUGCAUGAAGGCGGAAUCGCUAGUAAACGCAGAUCAGCAUGCUGCGUUGAAUACGUUCCCGGGUCUUGUACACACCGAGUCGGUGGGGGAGGGCGAAGGGCACGACAGGGGGGGAUA
rnacentral:rRNA from 1 species